rnacentral:rRNA from 1 species
GGGACACGUGGUAUCCUGUCUGAAUAUGGGGGGACCAUCCUCCAAGGCUAAAUACUCCUGACUGACCGAUAGUGAACCAGUACCGUGAGGGAAAGGCGAAAAGAACCCCGGCGAGGGGAGUGAAAAAGAACCUGAAACCGUGUACGUACAAGCAGUGGGAGCACGCUUAGGCGUGUGACUGCGUACCUUUUGUAUAAUGGGUCAGCGACUUAUAUUCUGUAGCAAGGUUAACCGAAUAGGGGAGCCGAAGGGAAACCGAGUCUUAACUGGGCGUUAAGUUGCAGGGUAUAGACCCGAAACCCGGUGAUCUAGCCAUGGGCAGGUUGAAGGUUGGGUAACACUAACUGGAGGACCGAACCGACUAAUGUUGAAAAAUUAGCGGAUGACUUGUGGCUGGGGGUGAAAGGCCAAUCAAACCGGGAGAUAGCUGGUUCUCCCCGAAAGCUAUUUAGGUAGCGCCUCGUGAAUUCAUCUCCGGGGGUAGAGCACUGUUUCGGCAAGGGGGUCAUCCCGACUUACCAACCCGAUGCAAACUGCGAAUACCGGAGAAUGUUAUCACGGGAGACACACGGCGGGUGCUAACGUCCGUCGUGAAGAGGGAAACAACCCAGACCGCCAGCUAAGGUCCCAAAGUCAUGGUUAAGUGGGAAACGAUGUGGGAAGGCCCAGACAGCCAGGAUGUUGGCUUAGAAGCAGCCAUCAUUUAAAGAAAGCGUAAUAGCUCACUGGUCGAGUCGGCCUGCGCGGAAGAUGUAACGGGGCUAAACCAUGCACCGAAGCUGCGGCAGCGACGCUGAUGCGUUGUUGGGUAGGGGAGCGUUCUGUAAGCCUGCGAAGGUGUGCUGUGAGGCAUGCUGGAGGUAUCAGAAGUGCGAAUGCUGACAUAAGUAACGAUAAAGCGGGUGAAAAGCCCGCUCGCCGGAAGACCAAGGGUUCCUGUCCAACGUUAAUCGGGGCAGGGUGAGUCGACCCCUAAGGUGAGGCCGAAAGGCGUAGUCGAUGGGAAACAGGUUAAUAUUCCUGUACUUGGUGUUACUGCGAAGGGGGGACGGAGAAGGCUAUGUUGGCCGGGCGACGGUUGUCCCGGUUUAAGCGUGUAGGCUGGUUUUCCAGGCAAAUCCGGAAAAUCAAGGCUGAGGCGUGAUGACGAGGCACUACGGUGCUGAAGCAACAAAUGCCCUGCUUCCAGGAAAAGCCUCUAAGCAUCAGGUAACAUCAAAUCGUACCCCAAACCGACACAGGUGGUCAGGUAGAGAAUACCAAGGCGCUUGAGAGAACUCGGGUGAAGGAACUAGGCAAAAUGGUGCCGUAACUUCGGGAGAAGGCACGCUGAUAUGUAGGUGAAGCGACUUGCUCGUGGAGCUGAAAUCAGUCGAAGAUACCAGCUGGCUGCAACUGUUUAUUAAAAACACAGCACUGUGCAAACACGAAAGUGGACGUAUACGGUGUGACGCCUGCCCGGUGCCGGAAGGUUAAUUGAUGGGGU